rnacentral:rRNA from 1 species
AGUGAACGCUGGCGGUAGGCCUAACACAUGCAAGUCGAACGGCAGCACAGUAAGAGCUUGCUCUUACGGGUGGCGAGUGGCGGACGGGUGAGGAAUAUAUCGGAAUCUACUUUUUCGUGGGGGAUAACGUAGGGAAACUUACGCUAAUACCGCAUACGACCUACGGGUGAAGGCAGGGGAUCUUCGGACCUUGCGCGAUUGAAUGAGCCGAUGUCGGAUUAGCUAGUUGGCGGGGUAAAGGCCCACCAAGGCGACGAUCCGUAGCUGGUCUGAGAGGAUGAUCAGCCACACUGGAACUGAGACACGGUCCAGACUCCUACGGGAGGCAGCAGUGGGGAAUAUUGGACAAAGGGCGCAAGCCUGAUCCAGCCAUACCGCGUGGGUGAAGAAGGCCUUCGGGUUGUAAAGCCCUUUUGUUGGGAAAGAAAAGCAGCAGGUUAAUACCCCGCUGUUCUGACGGUACCCAAAGAAUAAGCACCGGCUAACUUCGUG